rnacentral:lncRNA from 1 species
UGCCCCACUCCCACUAUCAUUUUCCAUGUUCAAUGGACCGUGAAAUUGGAUAAAAAAUAUAAUUAGGCAUUAAAAUUAGAAAGAUAAUAUCAUAGGAAACAUGUGUACUAAGUUUCAAGUUGAUUGGACUUCAACUUCAUCAAAAACUACCUUGACCAAAAACUUUAACCUGAUACAUGCACUUUCAUUUUCUAUGUUCAGUGGACCGUGAAAUUGGGUCAAAAGUUUAAUUUGGCUUUAAAAUUAGAAAGAUCAUAUCAUAAGGAACAUGUGUACUAAGUUUCAAGUUGAUUGGACUUCAACUUCAUCAAAAACUACCUUGACCAAAAACUUUAACCUGAAGCGGGACAGACGGACGAACGAACGGACGGACGAACGAACGAACGGACAGACAGACGGAUGGACGAACGGACGCACAGACCAGAAAACAUAAUGCCCCUCUACUAUCGUAGGUGGGGCAUAAAAAUCUAAAAAUCAAAUUGAUAAUAAAUUGUCACUGGCUGCACUAUUUUCAAAAAUUAAAUAAAAAAACCUAAAUCAUUAACAAUUGAUCCCUCAAAUGCCCUAGAUUAAAAAUAUCCCUAUAUCAAAAACAGAAACUAUAGUAAUUUCGUUCAGAAAAAUUCAACAAUCAUACUAUAACUUAUUGUACAAGUUACGGAAAAAAAUCAACCAAGGCAGAACUGCCUCAACGGCCGAAACGUCUUGUUUACACAAAUUAAAAUUUUCUAGGUCCAUACCACAAGUUAUAUACUAAGAUCUACGAGUCAUCUACUGGAUUGGUCCUGGGCAGAUUUAUUUUCAUAUUUCAUUUACUGUUAUCUGUUAUUAUCCCUUUUCAAUUCCUUGUUAUCUGUUUUCCACCAAAUCAAUUCACUGUUUUGCUGUUAUGGGGACCCCCCUUGCCCCCCCUCAUUUAUGUAG